UACUUAAAAGCUAGCCUUAAAAAA
rnacentral:rRNA from 1 species